UACGGAGGGUGCGAGCGUUGUCCGGAAUUACUGGGCGUAAAGAGUGUGUAGGCGGUGCUCUAAGUUCGGUGUGAAAUCUCCUGGCUCAACUGGGAGGGUGCGCCGGAAACUGGAGUGCUUGAGCGUGGGAGAGGAAAGCGGAAUUCCUGGUGUAGCGGUGAAAUGCGUAGAUAUCAGGAGGAACACCAAUGGCGAAGGCAGCACUCUGGGACGUGACUGACGCUGAGACGCGAAAGCGUGGGGAGCAAACAGG
rnacentral:rRNA from 1 species